AUUGAACGCUGGCGGCAGGCCUAACACAUGCAAGUCGAGCGGAGCGGCGGACGGGUGAGUAAUGCCUAGGAAUCUGCCUGGUAGUGGGGGAUAACGUCCGGCAACGGGCGCUAAUACCGCAUACUAUUAGAUGAGCCUAGGUCGGAUUAGCUAGUUGGGGGGGUAAAGGCAUACCAAGGCGACGAUCCGUAACUGGUCUGAGAGGAUGAUCAGUCACACUGGAACUGAGACACGGUCCAGACUCGUACGGGAGGCAGCAGGGGGGAAUAGUGGACAAUGGGCGCAAGCCUGAUUCAGCCAUGCCGCGUGUGUGAAGAAGGCCUUCGGGUUGUAAAGCACUUUAAGCGGGGAUGCGUUACUCGCAGAAGAAGCACCGGCUAACUCCGUGCCAGCAGCCGCGGUAAUAC
rnacentral:rRNA from 1 species